rnacentral:rRNA from 1 species
UCUAUGGGUGGCAGCAGUGAGGGAUAUUGGUCAAUGGGCGAGAGCCUGAACCAGCCAAGUCGCGUGAGGGAAGACGGUCCUAUGGAUUGUAAACCUCUUUUGCCGGGGAGCAAAAAGCGGUACGUGUACCGCAUCGAGAGUACCCGGAGAAAAAGCAUCGGCUAACUCCGCGCCAGCAGCCGCGGUAAUACGGAGGAUGCGAGCGUUAUCCGGUUUUAGUGGGUUUAAAGGGUGCGCAGGCGGCUAGUUAAGGCAGCGGGAAAAUUUCGGGGCUAAACCCCGACGAGCCGUGGACACUGGCUUGCUAGAGUGGGCGAGAAGUAUGCGGAAUGCGUGGUGUAGCGGUGAAAUGCAUAGAUAUCACGCAGAACUCCGAUUGCGAAGGCAGCAUACCGGCGCCCAACUGACGCUCAGGCACGAAAGCGUGGGUAUCGAACAGGAUUAGAUACCCGAGUAGUC